rnacentral:rRNA from 1 species
AAACUUCACAAUGGAGGCAACUCCGAUGAGGGAAUUCCAAGUGCUAGCACAUUAGUGUUAGCUUUUCUUAAGCAUAGAUAACUUAAGGAAUAAGGGCUGGGUAAGACGGGUGCCAGCCGCCGCGGUAAUACCCGCAGCCCAAGUGGUGGUCGAUUUUAUUGAGUCUAAAACGUUCGUAGCCGGUUCAUUAAAUCCUUGGGUAAAUCGGAUAGCUUAACUACCCGAAUUCCGGGGAGACUGGUGAACUUGGGACCGGGAGAGGCAAGAGGUACUUUUGGGGUAGGGGUAAAAUCCUGUAAUCCUAAAAGGACCACCGGUGGCGAAGGCGUCUUGCUAGAACGGAUCCGACGGUGAGGGACGAAGCCCUGGGUCGCAAACGGGAUUAGAUACCCCGGUAGUCCAGGGUGUAAACGCUGCAGACUUGGUGCUGGGGACCCUUCGGGGUGUUCAGUGCCGGAGAGAAGUUGUUAAGUCUGCUACUUGGGGAGUACGUCCGCAAGGAUGAAACUUAAAGGAAUU